UCCUGUGAGAAUCUAUAAUCUUGUAAGAACUAAGAAUCAUCUUAGACCAUAGAUUAAGCUUAAUCCAACGGCCUAGAUUAUAAAUUAGGCGAUUAAUUAAUUUACAAUCUUUAAUUUUAGAGCUACGUGUUUUAAGAACAAGGGUAAUAAUGGAAAAUAUGUUUAAUGUCGUUAUGGUAUGAAUCAUCUUAAAUUUGGUAAAUCAGAAAUGAAUCCCUUAAUUAUAGGGUUGACUCCAUUUGUUUGAAUAAAAAAAAUUCACCUACACUAAAUAACCUAUCAACAUCAAUCUAUUCAUCUCCACCGCCAUUUUCUAUCUAUCAUAGCAAUAAAUAUUCAAGCUCUUACUCCACCAUUUUUUUUACUUUGUUCUUCAACUUUGUUCACGCUGGUAUCGUAAAAAGCGGCGAAUAGAAGACGCCUUUCACCUUGUUCACGCCGGGCUCGGAAGAGCUAGACCAUCCAAUAAGGAAAUAACAUUGUAAAAUAAGUUGAUAGAAGCAUAGGCGAGAGCCACAAAGUGGUGGCAAAGAGUUCUUCAUAAGGCACAAUUAUAUCGCUAGGAAAGUCAAGCGUGAGGCAGUUGGCACGAAGACAAUGCACUCAUCCAAACCUGAUACGGCUGAACAAACAUUGAUUUUCCGGCGACUUCCGUUGAAGCAACGAUAAUUUAUGAACAUCUCUGUUUUACUUUGGAAUUUUCAAUAAUGUAUUUGUUGUUAUUUUUUCCCGUUGAUUUCCGAUGACUUGAAGAAAAAAAAAAUUGCGUACAAGGAUGGGUCGUUGUUGGUAUCAUUGUCGUUGUCGUUGUUGGGAUAUUCACGGUAUUGUUGUUUUUGUUCAAAGUGUAAUUUAAUGCUUAUUGUUCGUUACAUUUAGGAUAUAUUCAGUAGAUGUGGGAUAUUCAUUCAUGUAACUGGUGAUAUGUUUAUUGGAUUUGAGAAUCUUAUUCAUUG